CACGUAGGGGGCGAGCGUUGUCCGGAUUCAUUGGGCGUAAAGCGCGCGCAGGCGGCUCGGAAAGUCGGGUGUGAAAACUCGGGGCUCAACCCCGGGCGUGCAUCCGAUACUGCCGGGCUUGAGGCAGGUAGGGGAGAUCGGAAUUCCUGGUGUAGCGGUGAAAUGCGCAGAUAUCAGGAGGAACACCGGUGGCGAAGGCGGAUCUCUGGGCCAUUACUGACGCUGAGGAGCGAAAGCGUGGGGAGCGAACAGG
rnacentral:rRNA from 1 species